AGCGAACGCUGGCGGCAGGCCUAAUACAUGCAAGUCGAGCGCACCUUCGGGUGAGCGGCGGACGGGUGAGUAACGCGUGGGAACGUGCCCUUUGGUACGGGAUAACUGAGGGAAACUUCAGCUAAUACCGUAUGUGCCCUACGGGGGAAAGAUUUAUCGCCAUUGGAGCGGCCCGCGUUGGAUUAGGCAGUUGGUGAGGUAAAGGCUCACCAAGCCUACAAUCCAUAGCUGGUCUGAGAGGAUGAUCAGCCACACUGGGACUGAGACACGACCCAGACUCCUACGGGAGGCAGCAGUAGGGAAUCUUGCGCAAUGGGCGAAAGCCUGACGCAGCCAUGCCGCGUGAAUGAUGAAGGUCUUAGGAUUGUAAAAUUCUUUCACCGGGGAAGAUAAUGACGGUACCCGGAGAAGAAGCCCCGGCUAACUUCGUGCCAGCCGCCGCAGUAACAC
rnacentral:rRNA from 1 species